UACGUAGGGACCAAGCAUUGUUCGGAUUUACUGGGCGUAAAGGGCGCGUAGGCGGCAUGACAAGUCACUUGUGAAAUCUCUGGGCUUAACCCAGAACGGCCAAGUGAUACUGUCGCGCUAGAGUGCGGAAGGGGCAAUCGGAAUUCUCGGUGUAGCGGUGAAAUGCGUAGAUAUCGAGAGGAACACCUGAGGUGAAGACGGGUUGCUGGGCCGACACUGACGGCUGAGUGCGCGAAAGCCAGGGGAGCAAACGGG
rnacentral:rRNA from 1 species